AGCAUUCAGGUUCUUUUGUUGGGCGGCUAUGAGGCCAGGGUAUGCUCAUGAUUCAAGAACGUAUAAUGUAAUGAUGGCAAUACUUGGAAAGACGAGGCAGUUUGAGACUAUGGUUUCGGUUCUUGAAGAAAUGGGGGAGAAAGGUUUGCUUACAAUGGAGGCAUUUUUGAUCUCCAUGAAAGCAUUUGCUGCAGCAAAAGAGCGGAAGAAAGCUAUUGGGAUGUUUGAGUUGAUGAAGAAGUAUAAGUUUAAAGUUGGGGUGGAGACAAUCAAUUGUUUACUUGAUGCCCUGGGAAGGGCAAAGCUUGGGAAAGAAGCACAAUUAUUGUUUGAGAAAUUGGAGCAUAGAUUCACACCAAAUUUACAAACAUAUACGGUUUUGCUCAAUGGUUGGUGUAGGGUAAAGAAUCUGAUGGAUGCUGGUAAAGUGUGG
rnacentral:misc_RNA from 1 species